AAUCAACGCUGGCGGCGUGCCUCAGACAUGCAAGUCGAACGCGAAAUUUCCCUUCGGGGAGAAAGUAGAGUGGCGCACGGGUGAGUAACACGUAGGUAAUUUGCCUUUGGGUGGGGAAUAACUCAGGGAAACUUGAGCUAAUACCGCAUAAUGCAGCGGCUCGACAUCGAGACAGUUGUUAAAGCGGGGGAUCGCAAGACCUCGCGCCUGAAGAGAAGCCUGCGGCAGAUUAGCUAGUUGGUAAGGUAACGGCUCACCAAGGCAACGAUCGGUAUCCGGCCUGAGAGGGGCGGACGGACACACUGGGACUGAGACACGGCCCAGACUCCUACGGGAGGCAGCAGUGGGGAAUUGUUCGCAAUGGGCGCAAGCCUGACGACGCAACGCCGCGUGGAGGACGAAGAUUUUCGGAUCGUAAACUCCUUUCGAUCGGGAAGAACAG
rnacentral:rRNA from 1 species